UACAGAGGAUGCAAGCGUUAUCCGGAAUGAUUGGGCGUAAAGCGUCUGUAGGUGGCUUUUUAAGUCCGCCGUCAAAGACCGGGGCUUAACUUCGGAAAGGCAGUGGAAACUGAACAGCUAGAGUAUGGUAGGGGCAGAGGGAAUUCCUGGUGUAGCGGUGAAAUGCGUAGAGAUCAGGAAGAACAUCGGUGGCGAAGGCGCUCUGCUGGACCAUAACUGACACUCAGGGACGAAAGCUAGGGGAGCGAAUGGG
rnacentral:rRNA from 1 species